UCCGAGUUGACCCCGGCAGUCUCUUAUGAGUCCCCACCAUUACGUGCUGGCAACAUAAGACAAGGGUUGCGCUCGUUGCGGGACUUAACCCAACAUCUCACGACACGAGCUGACGACAGCCAUGCAGCACCUGUGUUACGGCUCUCUUUCGAGCACAACCAAAUCUCUGCGAGGUUCCUGGCAUGUCAAGGGUAGGUAAGGUUUUUCGCGUUGCAUCGAAUUAAUCCACAUAAUCCACCGCUUGUGCGGGUCCCCGUCAAUUCCUUUGAGUUUUAAUCUUGCGACCGUACUCCCCAGGCGGAAUGCUUAAAGCGUUAGCUGCGCCACUGACGAGCAAGCUCGCCAACGGCUGGCAUUCAUCGUUUACGGCGUGGACUAC
rnacentral:misc_RNA from 1 species